rnacentral:rRNA from 1 species
GAGUUUGAUCGUGGCUCAGAACGAACGCUGGCGGCAGGCUUAACACAUGCAAGUCGAACGGGCGUAGCAAUACGUCAGUGGCAGACGGGUGAGUAACGCGUGGGAACGUACCUAUCGGUUCGGAAUAACCCGGGGAAACUCGGGCUAAUACCCGGAUACGUCCGCAAGGAGAAAGAUUUAUCGCCGAUAGAUCGGCCCGCGUCGGAUUAGCUAGUUGGUGAGGUAAUGGCUCACCAAGGCGACGAUCCGUAGCUGGUCUGAGAGGAUGAUCAGCCACACUGGGACUGAGACACGGCCCAGACUCCUACGGGAGGCAGCAGUGGGGAAUAUUGGACAAUGGGCGCAAGCCUGAUCCAGCCAUGCCGCGUGAGUGAAGAAGGCCUUAGGGUUGUAAAGCUCUUUCAGCGGGAAGAUAAUGACGGUACCCGCAGAAGAAGUCCCGGCUAACUUCGUGCCAGCCGCCGCCGU